AUGGAUAUAGCAAAGGAAUUAGUAUUAAAUUUGAAACAAACUAAUGUAUCACAUGCAGGGUAUGGUUUACAAAAAGAAUGUGAAUCUCUUAUUGGUCAUAUUUUACAAAACAUGGUAAAGUCUCAAUUUCCAGAAUUAAUUCCUGAAGUAAAAAAUGAGGAAGAUUCUAUCCACUAUAGAGAAGAAGGAAACCAACAUUUUGUAAUGGGUGAUGAUAAUGAAGCUAUAAAAUAUUAUACAAUGAGUUUAGCAUAUGCAAAUGAUAAUGAACUUAUGUCAUAUGCUUAUGCCAAUCGGUCUGCUGCUUUAUAUAGAAAACAAAUGUUCAAAGAAUGUUUGAUAGAUAUUGAUGCUGCUUUAAGUCUUGGAUAUCCAGAAGAAAAAAGGAAAAAUCUGAAAGAAAGGGGAGCCAAGGCUAUCGAAGAAAUUAAGAAAAGAUUACAACUUACAAAGGAUGAUCAUAUUGAUAUAGAAACACUUAAGAAUAUGUGUUUAUCAGAAAAAAUAAAUGAGGAACCUGGAGGUGUAAGAUAUAGAAAUGGAAAGGUUAAACUUUCAGAAGAUAUGAGUAAAAAUUUUAGCAUCAAUGAAAAGAAAGAUUUAAUCAAUGAUUCUAAUGGAAUAUCCAAAGAUAAUGAUAAGGAAAAACAACUAAGAUACUUAGCUGAUGAAGGUCCUUUAAAGUUAGCUUAUGGUCCAAGUAAAGAGGCUCCUGCUGCUAGUGAUGGUAUCAGCAUUUCUUUUUCUGAAAAAUAUGGACGUCACUUAGUAGCUACAAAAGAAUUUAAACCAGGAGAUGUAGUUACUAUUGAAAAUCCAUAUGCUUAUGUUAUUUAUACACAAAGGUAUUAUACACAUUGUCAUCACUGUUUAUCAAGAAGCUAUAAUUUAAUUCCUUGUUCACACUGCCCUGUGGCUCAAUACUGUUCAGAAAAGUGUAGAAAAUUAGCUUGGGAAAUGGCUCAUCAAAUAGAAUGUCCAAUUAUGGCAUUAGUAGGAAACUUACUUAAUGUUGAUAAAGAUAAGAUACGAAUGCUUACCAAAAUUAUUAGAUUUCUCAUUGUAAUAACAUCAAAGGGCAAGAAAUUUGAUGAACUGCGAGUGGACAUGGAACUAGCUGAAUCUAAUCCAGAUAACAGAUCUGCAGGAUUUACAGAUGAAGGCAUAUUGGACAGUACCAGCGCACGAUCUGCUUUGAGUCUCGCUACCAAUAUGACAACGCGACCACUUAUUGGAAUCAGUGCUUUUGCUUGCAUCUCAGCUCUUGCAGCUAUCCUCCUAGCCACUCAGACCAAUUUCUUCUGCAAUAAAUAUGAAGUGAACCAAUUAAAAGAUAUUAGCAAUUAUCCAAAGAUCAUAUUCUCUGGAAGCCUUAUGUUUCGCGCUUGUGUUAUAAUGUCUUCAAAUUGUUUUUCAGUGCAACAAGAACCAGGAAUUAAAACAGGUUCAGGAUUAUAUAUAACACAUAGUUUAUACAACCAUUCUUGCGCACCAAAUACAUUUCGUCAUUUUGAAGAGCUAACAAUGAUUACUCGCGCUCUAAGACCAAUAUAUCCUGGAGAUCAAAUAUUCACAAAUUAUGGUGCUGCAUAUGCAUAUAUGACAAAAUCUGAAAGAAGAAAAAAAAUAAUACAAGACUAUUUCUUUGAAUGCGAUUGUAUCGCGUGUGCAUUUGACUGGCCAAUUUACGAUGAAAUUUUGCAAAAACACAUUGGUUCUAUUAAAAAAAAUAAAGAGCUUGUAGAAAGAUUAAAACCUUAUAAGCAAAGAUUGGUAAAAAAUAUGUAUGAUAUUGAUGCAGUAAAGUCAGUCCUUGAUAUAUUAUAUAAGAACGUAUCCCAGCCGUGUGAAGAAAUCGUACACGCGGAACAAUACCUGAAGAGUUAUUACUUAGGUAAAUUUAAGUAAAUAGACAGUGAACUUGCUUAUACUGGUUUAUAUUUGUAGCUUCACUUACUUGUGAGUUCUUAAUUCCAUGCUUUAUAUCCUGCGAACCACCUUUAUUUAAAUACUUCACUUUGUACACUCAUUUCUUGCUUAUAUAUCUAAUAAGGCUGCUUGUAAAUCCAUGGCUUAAACUGCUUUAUAAUAAUUACUUAUUAAUUGCUUGGGGCUGCAAGGACCCAUAAGAGAGGCAUCAACAGCAUACUACAUUAUUAAUGAAAGACAUGAAAUAUUCCUAAAAACAUUUUAUUGAAGUUAUACAUGAUAUUUAUCUAGUUCCUAAGAAAAUGUGCUUCUUAUACACAAUACAUUUGUCUAAAUAUUCAAACUAAUAGAAAUGUGUGUAAUAACAUAAAUAUGAAGGAAAAAAUAUAACAGAGAUAAUGAAAUUGA